rnacentral:rRNA from 1 species
AGCAGCCGCGGUAAUUCCAGCUCCAAUAGCGUAUAUUAAAGUUGUUGCAGUUAAAAAGCUCGUAGUUGAAUUUCGGGAUCAAUUAAUUGGUCGUGCCUCUGGUACGUACUGAUUUUAUUGGUUUCUCCCUUCUGACGAACCAUGAUGUCAUUAAUUUGAUGUCGUGGAGAAUCAGGACUGUUACUUUGAAAAAAAUUAGAGUGUUUAAAGCAAGCUAACGCUUGAAUACAUUAGCAUGGAAUAAUGAAAUAGGACGUUUGAUUCUAUUUUGUUGGUUUCUAGGAUCGACGUAAUGAUUAAUAGGGAUAGUUGGGGGCAUUAGUAUUCAAUUGUCAGAGGUGAAAUUCUUGGAUUUAUUGAAGACUAACUACUGCGAAAGCAUUUGCCAAGGAUGUUUUCAUUAAUCAAGAACGAAAGUUAGGGGAUCGAAGACGAUCAGAUACCGUCGUA